GGGGUUGUACUGGUUUCGACGGGGAUUUUGAAGUUGGGGAAGCCAUCCGCGGGCCGGGACCGCGCAGUAAACCGGAACUUAAAAUUAAACGCAAACGAUAAUUACGCGUUAGCAGCGUAAUGCUGCUCGUCGGCCUCGGGCUGCUCACCACCUGAGUCACCGGCGUCAAAUCGGUGAGGCACUUUUUUCCCAAAGCUUUGCGGGAUAAAAAGAACCUAUGAAGCUACUAAAGUCAGCAGCCUGUCAUUUGGCGUCUGAUGGAGGGAAUGUCAAAGAAAUGACUGUGAUGGGAGAUGCCGCAAUGGAGAGGUUUUCGGACAGGGGUUCGAUUCCCCUCAGCUCCAU
rnacentral:tmRNA from 1 species